rnacentral:rRNA from 1 species
UGUGGGAAGCGGCGUACGGGUGCGGAACACGUGUGCAACCUGCUUUAUCUGGGGGAAUAGCCUUUCGAAAGAAGAUUAAUACCCCAUAAUAUGUUGAAUGGCAUCAUUCGACAUUGAAACUCCGGUGGGUAGAGAUGGGCACGCGCAAGAUUAGAUAGUUGGUGAGGUAACGGCUCACCAAGUCUACGAUCUUUAGGGGGCCUGAAAAGGGUGAUCCCCCCACAUUGGUACUGAGACACGGACCAGACUCCUAACGGGGAGGCAGCAGUGAAGGACAUAUUCGGACCAACUGGGUGAGAGCCUGAUCCAGCCAUCCCGCGUGACGGACGACUGCCCUAUGGGUCUGUAAACUUCCUUNGUCAUACGCGGAUAAACCUACCACUCGUGAAGCGGUAAGCUUAGACAACGGUACACUAUANAACGGAAAUAGCACACCGGGCAUAAAACUUACCCNGCNNGCCCCAAUGCGUGCAGAGACACAGCUAGGNUUAACUAACAGCGCAGCAGGGAUGACACAAGCAGAGUUUACUUCCCCGGGCAAUUUCUCAUCUGGGGAGGAUUUCUCAAAAGGGNGAUUACAGGAUAAAGAGGCCAGAGAAA